AAAACAAAAAAGGGGUGAAACAAAUUAAAUUGCAAAGCUCCAUCAUCAGCGGCUUGACUCUCACCACCUGAAACCAGCGAAAUAAAUAAAUAAACUUAGCUUUAACAGGUUGAGCUCUUGGUUAAUUUUUCCUUUAAUUAAUUUCAAUGGCUAGCAAAUUAGCCUUCAGUUUGACACCCCCUCGUUUGUUCACUGCCCCUAUUCAAAAGCCCUUAGUUCCUUUCUCUUCAUCUUCUUCUACCAGGAUUCAAUCCAAUGGAAAGCAGCUAUGUGUUCGACGCAGAUUGUUCUUACUUCCCACCAAGGCUACUGCUGAUCAACAAGGCCAGGUCGAAGAAGAUGAGGUUGUGGAUAGUAAAAUUCUGCCUUACUGUAGCAUAGACAAGAAAGAGAAGAAGUCCUUGGGUGAAAUGGAGCAAGAGUUUCUUCAAGCCCUACAAGCAUUUUACUAUGAGGGAAAAGCUAUCAUGUCAAAUGAGGAAUUUGAUAAUCUCAAGGAAGAACUAAUGUGGGAAGGAAGCAGUGUUGUCAUGCUAAGUUCUGAUGAGCAGAAAUUUCUGGAAGCCUCAAUGGCUUAUGUAUCGGGAAAACCCAUUAUGAGUGAUGAAGAAUUUGAUAAACUGAAGCAAAGGCUAAAGAUGGAAGGAAGCGAAAUUGUAGUCGAGGGUCCACGAUGUAGUCUCCGUACUAGAAAGGUGUAUAGUGACCUAUCUGUUGACUAUUUGAAGAUGUUCCUCUUGAAUGUCCCGGCCACUGUGAUUGCCCUAGGAUUGUUUUUCUUCCUAGAUGAUCUGACGGGAUUUGAAAUCACAUAUCUUUUGGAGCUCCCAGAGCCAUUCAGCUUUAUUUUUACGUGGUUUGCUGCUGUGCCCGCAUUGGUUUGGUUAGCUCAAGCCCUUACAAAAGUGGUUGUGAAAGACUCUCUGAUCUUAAAGGGCCCUUGCCCGAACUGUGGUACUGAGAAUGUCUCCUUCUUUGGCACCAUACUGUCGGUUUCCAGUGGUGGAACCACCAACAGUAUUAAAUGUUCAAAUUGUGGAACUCCAAUGGUGUAUGAUUCGAACACGCGAUUGAUUACAUUGCCAGAAGGAAGUGAAGCUUGAUUGGAGGUAUAUACCAUGCUUAUGUAUGCUUCCCCUGGAAUCGCUUCUUGGAUAACUUUCAAGCAUCAGAUGUGUUAUUCCCACGUUAACAGACACAGCCAUGGCUGCAGGAUAAAUUAUUACCAAGGAUCCACAGUAGGACUGCUACAAACUCGAGAACUUGGGAGUGAAGAGUGUGUCGUAUGUUCUUAAACAUGGUGGGUCAUCAUUCGCAGCGCAGGUGGAAAUUUUGACAUGUGCUGCAAUGUAGAAUGUAUAUCGGUUGUAUGUUAUGUCAAAUCCUUUAUUUGUAAGUAACAUGUAAUAUAUUUAAAACUGUAACAGGCAUGUUGACAGGAAGAGAGGAGAGCAAAAAUGUUGUCGUGAAAAUCUUUUGAUCAAUAAAAAUCAUGUUCUAUGUAA